rnacentral:rRNA from 1 species
UCCAGACUCCUACGGGAGGCAGCAGUGGGGGAUAUUGCACAAUGGGGGGAACCCUGAUGCAGCGACGCCGCGUGGGUGAAGGAGCGUUUCGGCGCGUAAAGCCCUAUCGGCAGGGAAGAAGGAGGACGGUACCUGACUAAGAAGCCCCGGCUAACUACGUGCCAGCAGCCGCGGUAAUACGUAGGGGGCAAGCGUUAUCCGGAUUUACUGGGUGUAAAGGGGGCGCAGACGGCAGCGCAAGCCAGGAGUGAAAGCCCGGGGCCCAACCCCGGGACUGCUCUUGGAACUGCGCGGCUGGAGUGCAGGAGGGGCAGGCGGGAUUCCUGGUGUAGCGGUGAAAUGCGUAGAUAUCAGGAGGAACACCGGUGGCGAAGGCGGCCUGCUGGACUGCGACUGACGUUGAGGCCCGAAAGCGUGGGGAGCAAACAGGAUUAGAUACCCGGGUAUA